CAGGUUCUCCAUUAACACUUCUGUACCAAGAAGAAAGAGUUUUUACAUGUGGUGAUAAGGAUCCAUUGAUUACAUCUAUUGAUUCUGUUGGAACUAUUGGCGAAUAAUUUAUUUCUUGUGAUACCGUUUCAACGUUUUCAUUAAUAAAUUGUUCAACAGUAGAUUCCGAAGAUGAUCGCUGCAUUGUAAGUGUUCUUUAGUUAAUGAAAAAUAGACAUUAUAGUAUGAGAUAUAAUAUAUAUUAUAAAAACAUGAAUUGUUAUUUACACUAGGCAAUGCAUUUGGCCUAAGUCGAGUUAUUGAACAUGUUCUAUUAAAAGAUUCUUCUUUAAAAUGAAUAGAACAAAUACGAGCUGUAGUUGGGAUAAAUGAUGAACUCAUUCCCAAAAUAUCCAACCAUAACUUGCGAGUAGUAGAAUUUUUGGGAAAACUAAAAAAGAACCAUAUUAUUUUUAACAAAUUAUAUUUUUAAAAUAAAAAAUAUAAUAUUUUAAUGUUUAACGUAAUGAAUAAUUUAAUACCUGUGAAAUGUUAUUUUUAUAUUAUCAUUUAUAGUAUUAUUUCUUUUUUUCCAAUUUUGAAAAUCAGAUCUGUUCUUACACGACUGAACAAAGCACUGUACCAUUUUUCACUUACAAAAAGUAUUUGUUAUAAUGUAAAACCCUGACACAACGUAAUUAACCUAUUUAUCUUUUAUUUAUUUUUUAAAUGUCACGUUGUGUUACAUUCAUAUUUUUAACGCUGCGCUUGCGCCAAAUAAUAACCAAUCAAAAGUAGGCACAGUCAGUUUCCUCUCAAUGGCUUCUGCCCUAUAACGUUAUACUCCGUCCCUAUAUUCCUAUGUCUAUGAAAAAAGUCCGAUAAUUAAUAUCGUAGCUUCAUGCAACUGGUCCCACGGAGUAGUCCGCGGACAUACAUACAGACGACCGGGUGACCGCGAAAAACUCGGGCAUUUGUGAUCCGAUCCUCAUGCAACUGGUCUCAAAGUUUUUCAAAUUUAACGGAGAAGGCUGCUGUGGGUUUGAAUUAUCCAUGUACAGGUUCUCAAAAAAGAGUAGCCGAUCAUUUAUAAAACAAUCUGUAUAUCUAAAAUCCAAGCAGAUAGAUGCAAAAACCGUAAAAAGUUAAAAAUUUUGAGACCUGUGGUAUGAGGAUCGAACCAUAAAUGAUGGAAUAGUCCGCAGACAUACGUACAGACGUCCGCGAAUUAUAUAUAUAGAAGAUAGAUAGAUUUUAAAAUCAAAAUCGGUCGAGUUGUUUUCGGAGAAAAUUGACUUUUAAAAAUUUUCUUUUUUCUUCCAUAUCUCCUAAAACAAUGGAGAUAUCAAUAUAUAUAGAGAAAUUGUAUGUCACAUUAAUCUAAAUUUAUGGCAUGAAUUUGGACCCGAUAUCCCCGGCGGGGAUAGAUUUUACAUUGCUUAUUCCGCUAGAUUCUUUUAAUUUUUCUUUUUUUUUUAAGCAUUGAGUCUGUUGUUUUGCAUUUGGCUAUUUUCCAUUUUGAUUUUGUAUUUAGCAAUCUACAAAAUCCUCAAACACUAGGUUUUCAUCAAUUAGAUAAAUUUGAUUUUUUUGGCAACCAUAUGUCCGCCAUGGUCCGCCAUUUUUAAUUUGGAUUUUUGUUUUUUAAACAUAUUAAAUUAAGAUUGCUUAUUUGGUCUGCCGCCAAUUUUAGUGCUGAAUAUAAUUUUUCUAUUUAAUAUUUUUAAUUCUUAAAGUGCGCGCAGACAAUUUUAUCAGUCUUGAAACAUAGUUAUUAAGCUAAAUAUCGAUGCUUAGAAAUUUAUUAAAAUUUUUCCUUACUCGAAAAA